AAGGAUGUGAGAGAGUUGUCCCUGCUUGUCCAUCUGUGCUCUACCCUGAUAGUACUUUCCAGUGCAACUCUGCAAAAGAGCAGAAGACAUUUGAAUCGGCUGGGGAUCUGGUUCCUAUUACAGAUGACCCCGCAGACUUUUUCAGCUAGGAGCUUUGUUAGUGAAUAUCCAUUUGCUGUCUACAAUUCCACCUAAGAGAGUGAAGAUUGCUCAUUUUCUGUGUGCCUGAGAGACAGGGGAAAGUCAAGAUCCUACAAUGGCCAUCAUGGUGACUCCUCCUCUUUUCCUCCUCUUCAUCCUUUUGCCCUGCAGUAAAUCUCAGGAGGACUUUCUGGACCAGCAUCAGAAAUGGAACUACAGAGAAGGCGCUGACAAGGUCAACAUAGAAGGUGUUUACAGCAUUACUCAAACCCUCGAGAAAUGGGGAAAUGACAUCUUCUGGCAAAUGAAGCAUACCCUGCUGAACAACCCAAAUGCUCUCCUGCCUGAGUUCUCCAGUCUCCGCCCUGUCUCUGCAGCUGUGGACAACCUUGUGAGGGAAGUCCAGUCGAUAAGGAAAAGGCUGGAAGAACUGAACGAACGUCUCAAUGUCAUCAGCAAAACUGUCCUUCCCCUUCGACUGAAUGCUCUGCAGAGCCAGAGGCGUGGAAAUACUCAGCUGAGGAGACUCCCAACACACAGGAGAAGGUUAUAUGCUCGCAGGAGACCUCAGAGCAGACCUCAGAGCACUUAAUUCUCUACCAGAAAAAAGGGGAAAUCCUCUUUUUCUUUUUCAUCUGCUUAAGCCUUUCUCAAUGAGACAUUGCUGGAGAGAAAGAAAGUAAAGCACACAACAAGUCAGCUUUGCUAAGGAGACCAGAACUUCUGCAUUUUGUUGCUGCCUUAGGUCAGUAGGCAAAACCUGACCCUGUUCUUUAACGAUGGCUGUUUUGUGUCCCAAGCAAAAAAAAGUUGACAAGCUCAGUCUUCUUGAGCAUGAAUACCUUCAUUCUAUACAGGCAUUCUUUCUGCUUGCCAGAGGAAGCUCUUUCUAUAAAGAUCAGGUGAAUUUC